AGCAUUUAAACACCGGUUCCCGUACGAACACCGAAGUUAAGCAAUGUUGAAUGUUGUCGGUAACUAUAUGGGUAACUGCUUGGGAAUACCAGGUGAUGUAUG